AACGAACGCUGGCGGCAUGCCUAACACAUGCAAGUCGAACGAGACCUCCGGGUCUAGUGGCGCACGGGUGCGUAACGCGUGGGAACCUGCCCUUAGGUUCGGAAUAACUCCCCGUAAGGGGUGCUAAUACCGGAUAAUGUCUUCGGACCAAAGAUUUAUCGCCUUUGGAGGGGCCGGCGUUGGAUUAGCUAGUUGGUAGGGUAAAAGCCUACCAAGGCGACGAUCCAUAGCUGGUCUGAGAGGAUGAUCAGCCACACUGGGACUGGGACACGGCCCAGACUCCUACGGGAGGCAGCAGUGGGGAAUAUAGGACAAUGGGCGAAAGCCUGAUCCAGCAAGGCGGCGUGAGUGAUGAAGUCCUUAGGGUUGUAAGGCUCUUUUACCCGGGAUGAUAAUGACAGUACCGGGAGAAUAAGCUCCGGCUAACUCCGUG
rnacentral:rRNA from 1 species